CAGGUACUUCUACAUGGCUGAAUGCAUUCAUGCAAUGUACCAGCUCAGACAUUAAAUAUACACUCUGCUAAAUGCAUGCCUCUCAUGCAGACUGACUGUAGGUUAUACCAUUUCUCAUUAACUGUGUUGUUUCUAAUUGAGCCUUAGUCAUGGUGCAGCUGGACACCACAUGGCACUUUCUCCGUGAAUGCACUGAAGGCAGAACAAACAGCCCGUGUAGAGAAACCUUCCUGGCUGGGAGGAGAGCCCAUGCUGAUGGGACAGCAUGGAAAAAUGUGGCUGCACUGGAGGCAGCCUUGCUGCUGGCUGUAGAGAUUUGCCCAGCUCACUCUUCUCUGCCAGCACUCCUCUGCUAAGCUUUCAAGUCUCUGCCUACUGCAUUUCAUUCAUUUUUUCACUUUCACUGUCCUGACUGUCAGCUUCUUGGUCAAUCAGCUGUGUACUUUGUGCCAUAAAAAUUCCUCUUAUGCAGAAACUCGUUCCCUGGUUGCAGUUGCCUCCCUUGUAGGGGACAUCCUCCUGUAAUCAUACUACUGCCCAAUGCCAUGGACUUGACUUUCUUCCCCUAAUCUGGCAGUUUUUCUGUGUCAGAGAUGUCUCCUGUUAGAUGUCUGGAAACUCCUGCUCUUUCUGGAAUACCAUAAAGCAUAUGGCCAAUAUCACUAACUAAAACACUCCCUGAAGUACAUCAUUGAAACAAACAAACAAGCAAGCAAACAAACAAACAAAAAAGUAUAUUGAAGCAGCAAUAGUGAACCUAUAAGGGUGAAGAAAGUCAAUACAUGUCAACACUGAGGCAGGGCCUGAGACACAGACACUUUUGUAAAAUGUAGCUUCAUCUUGGACCCAGAAGAUAUUGCUCACAUGUCAUAUAAUCCUCUACAGAGUCAAGAUGAACUGCAAUAAAGGCUUUGAAGUGGUACAUUUUUUGACACAUCACCUGAAAUAUUUGUAUUGGUCACACAGCCACCAUGAUCCUGUCUUAAAAGAGGAAGCAAUGUUCACAUCCGAUGAAGUCAGAUAUUCUGUAUGUUUCGCUUCCUUUACCUCAAUUAGUGUUGCUGUUCAAAUGAGAAGACAUUUCAAAACAAGAAGAGCAUGUAAACAUUUUCACUUGAAGAUGCCAAAGCAAAGUAUGGGAUGAAAAUAUUAUGAGAGCCAGCAUUCUUCUACCAGAAAAAAUAAAUAAAUAAAAUAAAAUACA
rnacentral:lncRNA from 1 species